CAGCAGCCGCCGCGGGAAUACAGAGGGUGCGAGCGUUAAUCGGAUUUACUGGGCGUAAAGCGUGCGUAGGCGGCUUCUUAAGUCGGAUGUGAAAUCCCUGAGCUUAACUUAGGAAUUGCAUUCGAUACUGGGAAGCUAGAGUAUGGGAGAGGAUGGUAGAAUUCCAGGAGUAGCGGUGAAAUGCGUAGAGAUCUGGAGGAAUACCGAUGGCGAAGGCAGCCAUCUGGCCUAAUACUGACGCUGAGGUACGAAAGCAUGGGGAGCAAACAGGAUUAGAUACCCCAGUAGUCCCUGUCUCUUAUAC
rnacentral:rRNA from 1 species